rnacentral:lncRNA from 1 species
CCUCCCCCUCCUGGGUUCAAGUGGUUCUCCUGCCUCAGCCUCUCGAGCAUCUGGGAUUACAGAUGGAGGAAGGAGGUCCCAAGCCAAGGAAUGCAGCAUGGGCCUCUAGAAGCUGGAAUGACCCUCACCUCACGGCCAGCAAGAAAUCAGGGAACUCAGUCUUACCCGAGUGAGCAGGAAAUCGAUUCUCCUCUGCAGCCUCUAUAGAGAACACAGCCUGUCAACACCCUGAUUUUGGCCCAAUGAGCCCUGUACCUCCAGAAGUGUAACGUAAUAAAUUUGUGUUGUUUUAAGCUAUUAAGCUGUGGUUAAUUUGUUAUGGCGCCAAGAGAAAACUAACAUGACACAUACUUCUCUAUAUAUUCUUCCCUUCUAG